CGACUCUUCGCGACCUCAUGGACUGCAGCCUACCAGGCUCCUCCGUCCAUGGAAUUUUCCAGGCAAGAGUACUGGAGUGAGUUGGCAUUGCCUUCUCCAGGAUAUGGUACUAGCCUUGUCCAUAUUGGGACUAUCUUGGAGUGAUUAGAUUGGAAUGUCUAGGACGGAGAAAGGCCCUUGGGAUCCAGACACAUCCAGUGCCUUGAUCACGUGAUAGAAACCCAGCAGCUGGAAUUCAGACUUGGUGGGCGACAGAUCUGAGUCAUUUUCAUCAGUGGCCAUUAAGAGAGGUGGAGCAGGAAGAAUGAAUACAGGAUUAUGAGGAUGACUGAAUCAUGUAACAACUGUGCACAGCUCAAACACAUCUGGUACUAAAAGACAGGAUAUUCUCACUCAGUUGUUAGAGUGAAAUAAUGCCAUUUGCAGCAUCAUGAAUGGACCUAGGGAUUGUCAUACUGUAAGUCAUAUA